rnacentral:lncRNA from 1 species
CUCGUCUCCGGCCUUCCCCUUUUAGGAAACAAAGGACCCGUGACAGAGCCUACUUAUCCCGUUACAGCUCCUGGUGAGAAGGGCGAAGCCAUGUCAGAAAUAAUAGAAAAGGCUUUUUCCUUUGAAAUAUCUAAACGUUCAAAGAUGGGAACAGCCGCAGGGGGGAGAAUACUGUGCUAUGCAAGUUGAUCUGAUUUUGUGGACCAUCCAUUUCCAAUUGGGAAGCUCACUUACUUUCAACUUGAAGCAUCAGAAAACCAGACUUACAGCAGCUUCAGCCUAUAGGGGUUUAUUUUUCUCAUGUAACAAGAAGAACAGAAGUGGACAGAGGCCGAGUUCUCAAGGACUCAGUUUCUUUCUGUCCCACCAACCUUACCAUGUUGGAUUGUCAUCUUUGUGCUUGUUGCCUCAUGAUGGCAAGAUGGCUGCAGCACCUCUGGGACUCACGACUGAUUUUUAAGUGGAUGCUCUGGUUCUGCCUAGGUGCCUUUCAGGAUUGGAGACUACUCCCCCAGUUGCUGAUGGUGUGGUCAGCCCUCAGUUUUCAGUCCUCUUUGGGAAUUGCCUUGGAUGAAGAAAGUCACCUCACCCAAGAUCACUCCAACUCCUGGGACCCACAUCCAAUGAUUGGCCAAUAUGGGGACUCAAAGGCCUGGUCCCCCUUCCCCAACUUGAGACUACUCUGAAGGAUCACCCAGCUUCAGAGCUUCCCAUGGUUGAGACUUUUAGACUUCACUGUGGUCCAACCAAUCUCUUCCUAUACACGGUCCUGACUCCUUCACUUCCCUCCCAGCACUUCUUCUGUGUUAAUAUCAAACUUCUGUGCUAAUAACAAACUUCUUCCGUGCUAAUAUCUCUCAGUGUCUCCUUCCCUGGGAACUCAACCCUAGAUUGUUUAUACCAGCAGUGAUCCAAGAAAGAGAUGCCAACAUGAGAUUUUGGAAUUGGAUCACCUACCAUCCAGCUGGCAGUGCAGACCCCAUCAGUGGCAGUAGAAGAAGUACAUAUAGUCCGUAGCACAAGAUAGCAGUGAAAUUGUUAAAACUUUUGCCAAUGGUGAACUAGAAUGGUAUUCCCAUGGAAGGAAAUGCACCAGAGGGUGUGACCUAUCAGGUGGUUGAGAAAUAUGGGGAGAAUUACCACAAGGACAAUUCAAUUAGGUGGCUUUCACUAAGGAUAAUUAACACUUUGAAAAAAAUAAUGAAAUGUUGAAAAGGAUUCAUCAGCAAUUGAAAACUGAGUGGAGCUCAUAGGGAUACUCUCAUCCCUUGCACCUGGAGGAAAGGGAAAGCUGAGGACCAGGUACAUGGUGUAAUCCUAAUAG